GGAGUGAUAAUGAAAAUGAUUAAACUGGCGAAUCAUCGGGCACACCAAGGAGAGCUGGUGUAAUUUUGCAGAUUGUUUGUUUAUUGUGCGUAAUAAUAAACAGAUAUUUUCUAUUAUAUGCAAACGGUAUUUGGAACUGUACCCUCUUGUGGUGUGCAUGAGAAAAAGCAUGCAAAUAGGUCAAGUUCUUUACCAGCGCAGGAGUAGCUAUAUUUCUUUCGAGAUGUAGAAUCGGCAAAAUAACCCAAUUGGUCAGGUUUACUAGGACUUUUAAGACUGAUCUUAAUAGGAAUCGAGGCACGGACCUGUUGGUAGCACUGUGAGAUAUGGCAGAACAGUUAAGGACAUUUAACUCAACUGCUCCCUCGUGUGUCUCUUAGCCCUUUUGGCUCCUACGACUUGUGCUCCAGACUGAAAUGACUUUAAACUGUGCUGUGGCCCCUGGGUCUUGGAGCUUCAUGAAACACAGCAGCUCAUCCAAAAACGCACGACAAAAGGUGGAGAGAAGAGGAGGAAAUUGUGGUUGGAGGGGAGCAGCUGCUGUUUAAUCCAUGCCGGUUGUAACAAGCUCGUGUUUACUUUUUAUUUUCUUUUUUUUAUUGAAUCCAAAGCUGAUUCACACUUUUUCAUGCAUCAGUGAUGGGUUUUUUUUUUGGCAAUCUGUCUUCAUUUGCUUUUGAGCGCUGGAGUGGUUUGUAUGACACUAAUGUGUUGGCUCAAUGACACACUGCAAUGAUCUAAUAAAGCAUCGUGCUGUGAACAUCCAUGGGGGCCUUUCUCUUCUCUUGGCCUCUGGCCAAGAAUGAAACUUUUUCCCACCAAGUCAAUCUCAAAGUGAUGCUCACUACUUCAAGGGCCUUUUUUAGGGAUAUCAAAGGGACCGUCGAGAAACAGAUGUCUGUCAGUUUGGGCCAUUGUCAUUUUGGUGAAACAGAGUCAAAGUCGAGGUGUCGGUCAAGGAAGACGUCAUGGCCUCUGCGUUUUUAUGAGGUUGCCAAACCUGACCUCAUCACAACUUGCUCCGUGACGCUCCAUUGCAUCUGGGAGUAAUUACCCUGCUGUGGGCGUCCCUUCGCACAGCUGCUUUAUAGGGGAAGUCCAGGUGAAGUGUCAUGUGUAGGGUUUUGCAGUUUCUCAGCUAGGCUUGGGAUAUCUUUUAUUCAUGACUAUGAGUGCCUCAGCCAAUAUUAUGUGCUUUCACUAUUAAGAUUGUUCAUAUUUAAAUAUUCCUGCUAGAUUUGAAAGAAAGACUCUGUGAGGUAUAUACUAGCUAAUCAUAUCUGAUCAUAUUAGCUAUUCGUUAUUGGGCAGUGAGCUGUUGUACCUGGGCUAUACAAGCUAGUCAGUGUGCAUUUAUGUAAAGGAUAAAAUAGAUGGCCUUUUUAGAAUAUAUGUUCUCAGGAGAAUCUGUUUAAUAUGGAAACGUAUGAGAACAUUUGCUUUACUUUCCAAUACAUUUUGUCCUAGAAAAGCAUGCCUCAUGUCUAGACUGGUGGUUAAAAACUUUAUUUCCUUUAAUUCAAGCCACUUUUCCUGGAAAUGAGCAAUAUCUAUUUUCCACUUUGGUGGAACUGUUUCAUUUUCCCAGCUCCUGGAAAUUAUUCAGAAACAUUUAGAAUUACACUCGUCUACCAGCUGAUUCCUCUUAACUUAUGCAUGGCUUUAAUUUCCAUUUUAUUAUGAGCCUUUUUUUAUUUUAGGAAUGUUUUCACAAAUAAUUCCUGCAAAGGUACAUUUAUGUAGAAAAUGUUUUCACAGCCUUGGCCAAAAUUCAUUCAACAGCACUUCACAUCAUUAACUUCAAAUGUUACAUUUAAGCAGCUUGAACAGUUCAGUGAGUUUGUGUUGUACGUGAAACAAACAUGCUUAAUUUAACAAAUCACUGACUAAGUCGUGGUUAGGUAGCAGCUGGGUACUAUUUCUUCACUUGUAAUACAAAACAAAUUGGUCAAAUGUGUCAAUGAGAUAUCACUGGAAAAACAAACACUGCAUACACACCCACACGCGCGCACACUCAUGUGCACACAUGCACACACUCUCUCGCUCACUCACUCGCACAUUGGUGUGGUAUGUCAACAAACAUCAACAGAAUGAGUAUGUUGCCAUUCAGAAGAACAUUGUUUUUGUCAUUUAUAUAAGGCCGUGGGUGUUCAACAAAGCUUGAGGCUAUCCUGGUAAUCAAACAUUUCAACCUUAAGGUUUCUACCAAAACACAGACUAGGGGAGUCAGUCUGGGUCUUGGAAAAGUGGCAGGCUUUGCACCUCUGUCAGGUUGUCGUACUUUCCACAGAUGGAAGUUGACAUAUAUGUGUCUCUGUACUCCCACCACCCUCACUGCUGAAGUUCAGCAAGGAGACCUAGUGCACUUAAAGUGGGCCAUGGUAUCAGGCACGGAACAUACAGGGAAUCAAUCUCUUUUGAAAACAUUUUCAGAAAUGCUGUGCGUGUAUGCACGUGUGUGUGUGUGUGUGUGUGUGUGUGUUUGUGUGUGUGUGUGUGUGUGUGUGUGUGUGUGUGUGUGUGUGUGUGAGUUUGUGAAUGUGUGUGUAUGAGUGCACGUGCUACCGAAAACAUCAUGGCUUGUUCUCAAGGGAACUCUUCCCUGUCAUAUAUUAUAUCAAAACAUGAAAGAGGGGCCUUGCAACUGAACUUUCUGGUGUUUCCCUCCAAAGCCCCUAAGCCAUGGCUCGACCCAGCAUUUGAAGCACCCUUUGAUAGACACAUUGCACGUAACUAGUUUGGCUUACCCUCUAACACACCUUUACUCUCAUUGGUCACAUAUGCCACUGUCUCUUAGUCCUGCAUCAUAUAGUAGCAACACAGGGGGUGUGGGUCAAAGUACAGCUUUACGGGUACUCUUAAAUUAAUUUUGGAAACAGAGAAGGACCAGCUGAUAUAUGACUGUGAAAGUACUGUAUAUACAGAUGGUGCAAAUUCAUAUGCUGAAUAGUCAGAUACCUGACUUCACAAGCCAUUUUUGAGCGGACUCACAUAUUGCCAUUUAACCUAUUUAACAUAUUGCUAUUUAAUAAACUGAAGCAUAACUGUGGUUAUAUUCCAAGGGACAGGAAUUCACAAGAUUAAAAAUUAAAGGGAAUUGACUGGAAUUAAUUUUAAAUACUCUCUUCAAGACAAAUAAAAACAGACUUAAAACGUAAAAUAUUUUUUACAUUCCUUCAUUUAAUUUAUAUCCUUUUAGUCUUUGUUAUUAGAUAUACAAAUGUAUAGAUUUUUACAAUUUUACACCAACAUCAAUAUGUGAAUAACAAAUUUCUGUUAAAGAAGUGCAGUGUCUUGGAAAUUGCAGCUUAUUCACAGUCCCUGUUCCAAGUUUAGGUACACUUUUGACUCUUCCUCCUCUGUUGUCUAGCUGCGAGGUGGAUAUCAUAUUCAGACUAUUUUACACGUGUGAUAAGCACAUAUACCCCCAACAAUUUACUUGUCCAUGAGAGCACUCCAGAGUUGAAUAGCAGUCACCGGUGGAUAGCUAACAUAUUCUUUUUCAUGUGAAGAAAGAAUGAUUUGCAAAAUGUGGCUUUGUCACUGUUUAGGGGUACCUAAUUGCUCAUUUGAGAUGUCAGAACUCAUAUAAUAAUGGGGAGCUGAGACAAACUGAAAAUAGUGUACAUGCAUGCGCAAGAUUUUUAUUUAUUUUUUUCCCCCUCUGUUAAGGAAAACCCUAAAAUCUACCAGAAAUCCCCCCACUCCCCCAGCCCCCGGGCAUAAACAACGCCAGAAAGCUUCAAUUCACACAUCUGCCCCAGAAUCAAACAUCUGUCUCCUCCUGAAUGUUCGGAAUACAGAGCGGGUAUUAUACCAAGUGUAUAGUGUAAAAGGGAAACCAGUUUAAUAUGAGUAGUUUACUUAGGGGAUUUAUUACUGCCUUGUUGGAACAGCCGGUAGACCCUACAACCCGUUAGGACCAUGAUGAAGAGACAGUUUUGCCAACUUUAUCGACUGAUGCCGCCCAUAUUGUUUCAUCAUAUUGCCUGCUUCCACUAUAGGAUGUUUGUACUGAACUACAAUGUUGCAUAUUUGUGUCCUGAACACCAGUGAAAGCUUACAUCAAACAAGGAAAGCAGUGAGUGACUGCACUGCUUGGAACUUCACUUUCAAGCUCUUAGAUUUGUACUUUUUCAGAUGGUCCUAACAGGAAAGCAUGACAUCAUUGCUAGAGGUAGUGUCUGCCCUUUUUUGAUGCCGACGUAGGUUUAGUCACCAAUACAAAGAUUGCCCUAAUAUUUCCGUCAAUUUUUAAAACAGGACAUUUACUCAGUACCUGGCAUGAAGCACCAUUCUCACCUCCUCUCUCACAGCAUGCCCUGAGGUGCUAGUUUCCUUGACAAAUAUUAUUAUUUUGGAGCAUUACAUUGGGCUUUGAUUCACCGGCCACUCACAACCUCUUUAAUUUAGGUUUUAUUCAUAGAGCCGGGGCUGCCACCUUGGAAAAUACACACAGCAUACAUGCGCACGCACAGACACACGCAUGUACGCACAUGCAUGUAUGCGUGCGCAUGCAUGCGUAUACACACACGCACACACACACACACACACACACAGAGCAGCUGCAGUCUCUUCAACCCAAGAUGCAGUAAGUGUUUCAGACUUCAGUCAGCACUCUGCCCACCCAGCAGCUUCUGCGUGGGAAGCGGAACCACGCAAAGCAGGGGUUUAUGGGUACAGAGUGAGGCAUGGCAGAAGGUGUUUGAUCAGAUACACAGAUACAUUUAUUUCAGUCCUUCAGUGUUACACGUGUUCCUCCGGUACAAGUACAUGCAAACACGUGUUGCGUACGUAUAGUGUGUCAGCAUACGUCACAGUUCUUUCAUAUUUUAAGUGAAAUUUUUAUACUUUUUUAAAAUGAUGAGAAUUAUGUUGGUAAUGUAACGAGAAUAAAGAUUUUAAAUCAAAUUGUUAAAUUGUAAGAGCACGGCAUGAUCCUAUUUUAUAUGUUUUGUUGAAAACUUUUGGAAAGGUGGGGUAAAUUUUCCCUGGUCAUACAUUUGUCCAGUUUCCGGGCUGUUCCUUGAAUGUUAUUGUAAGUCACAAGGGGCAUGCCAUGCAAGAAUAGCUUUAGUUUGGUCUCAAUACUAAAGUUAUACGGAAUGUAUAUUGUGGACGGUCGUUAAUGUUCAUUUUUAUCAGGGAUGUUAGCAAUAGUAAACACACCUGUCAUUUCAUUACUUUUAUUUGUAAAUGUAUUUGACAUGUUGCUCCAUAUUUUUUUCAUGACUAAAUGAUAGCCAUCAGGGGAUGUUGCAAGCAAGUAUGUGACAUGCUUGGAACUGACUUUGACAGAACUUGUUUGGAACAAAAAUAUGUUUUAAGCUUGUCUGGGAGAUGUACUCAUUUGUUGUCACAACCAUAAGACCAUAAGCCUCACAAGAUAUCCCCAAUGUACUUAAAACAUUUUGUGAAUCAUAAAGAGAAGAAAUGAUAACCAAUGAUUGUAUUAUUGAUUUUGAAAUCAUCUCUGCACUCUGUAACACACAAAUAAACAGAUUAUUAUUAUUAUUAUUAUUAUUAUUAUUAUUAUUAUUAUUAGUUGUAAUAGUAGUAUUAGUGAAUAACUGCUUUUAUAGUUUUCCCAGUAAUGAUCUCUCAUGAUCACCCUGGCUAUGUAUCUGUUUUAGGACAAUCAAAGGAAAGAUGAAGGGAAGUGAGGUUUUCAAGUGAGAUUGAAUGGUCACUAAAGUGCCAUCUUGUGGAAUCUGAACUUCAAAUCACUUAUUUCUCAGUGUAUUCAAGUUCGGCAGUAUCCGAGAGUUGACCCAAGUAUCCAAGGAAAACAAGGUUAAUUUCAUUUGAACUAUGCCUUACACAAUUAUAAUAAAGAAUACAGACAUGAAUGCUGUCUCUUCAGACCAACAUCAGUAGUGAGUCUUUGGGGGAUUGAACCAUCAAUCUAUCUUUAAGUCAGGCAUUUGAGGUAAGCACCCUACUAUGUGCAAUGGCAGUACUCUAAGGACUGAAAGCACCUAGACGUCAACAGCUAAACCUUUACGGCCUGAAAUGACCCUGGGCUCAUUGCACACAAUAAAGUGUUUUCACACAAAGGCUAAAUACCCUGUGUUUUGUUCUGUGAGAAUCAUACUGAAUGAAAGUGGUCAAUGCUCUUAAGGGAUUUUCUCCAACCUUAUACAGGACAGUUUGCUACGGUGUAUGGACUUUCUUAAAUGCCCCAUGCAUAUCUGUGGCUUAUAAUUACAUACCAUGUCAUAAUUCAGCAGCUUUCAGGGGUUUGUCUAUAGGUCAUGAAAACACAUUCUUAAGGGGAUUAUGCAUUCUCUGAGUUUUUUAUUUAUUUUUAUUUUUUUUAUGCACAGGCUGCAGUUCACAUCAUAGCACUUUGUUUGCCAAAAUUUCAGCUUUUGCUAAUCAACAACAAGCUAUUCCCCCAGGCAGAAUGCAAACAUUUGACAUGAUAAAGCCUGUAAAAAGCCAGUAAAAUCUAGCUAUUUCACUUUGUCCUCUAAUUCAUUUGGAAUUGUUAUCAUUGCUGUUAAAGUUCCAGAUUCUGGUUUUUGAAUGUACAAAACUAUUGUUGGCACAUUAGGCUAUUGCGUACUUGCCUGCUCCUUCAGUAAGCAGAUUGAAUUGGGAGUUAAAUAUAUUGUUGAAGCCAGAAGAGUUAGCCCCUGUAAAACUGCUCUAUGCUCUAGGCAUAUGGCCAGGCUUGGAAUGUAUAUAACAAAUAGGACAUGUGAUCCUAUUUAUAUAUAGCCAAACAUUAUUUGAAUAUUGUUGCGGCUAAUAUUGAAGACAAUGAAAACAUUCCUAUAUAGAAAGCUGGCUAAGAACAUUUUGUGCACAGUAGUUUGUACCCAGCAGUCUAUAAACUUGCUGGGUAGCUCAUUCUGUUAAUUCACUGUUCUAUUACAACGAUAUACUCCACAAUCUGGUUUCCUAUCCAGACCAUGGCAGUGUUGACUGUGGCCAGUAGUAUUACCAAGGGAAGGGAGGCUUUAAGUUCCAUCGUGCAUCACUAAGUCAACUGUGCAUGUGUAGCUAUGAAGAUAUGACAACUCAGGAAGGACCACUGUCUUAACGCAGUCCCACAGGGUUCCAUUCUUGGCCCCCUCCUACUUUCCUUACAGACUAAAUUUCUCAUCUUAAAAAUAUAUUCAAUUUUUUUUCUCCUACCACUGCAAUGCUGAUGACACACAGCUCAGCUAUUCCACCAGGAACACAUUGCCUCAUGUAUCACAGCCUGCCUAAAUGAUCGCUGCAGUUGGAUUGCUGGAGGAUGAUCAGUCAAGAUUUUACACUUGGUCUUGCCAAAACUGUGGUACUCUACCUACUAGAUAUAUCCUCCCCCCCAUCUGUCCAUCCCCCUUAGUAACACAAUGGUGUCUGCAUCCUUGGCUGCCAACAAAUCUUGGUGUAGUCUUGAAUAACAGAUUGUCUUUCAUUGAGAAUAUCACAAUAGUAACACAUAGCUACCGAUUUCCUCUCUACAACAUCCUUCCCCCACUACGAAUGCUAACAAUUAUUCAGGUCUGUGUGUUGUCCCAACUGCAUUGCUGCAAGUAAAAAAAACUAACCUUUUUUCCUUUAUUUCACAGGCCUUGAGGCAAGUACCUUGAUGUUGGCACUUAUGAUUGUGACUGUACCUAUUUCUAGCUUUUAAGUGUUUGCUUAUCAUGUGAAAUGCACCUUUGUAAGUCACUUCAGUUUAAAAUGUCUGCUAAAUGACCAGAUUGUACAUUUCUAAAAUUGUCUCCUUUCUGGUCUCCCAUGCAGGUGCCAGCCAGUCACUCCAUCUCAUUCAGAAUACUGCUGCUCAGCUCAUCUACAAUCAGCAAAACAACACAAAUCCCCCUCUCCUCAUCUCCCUUCACUGGCUAGCAAGUCUGGACCAAAUAAAAUACAAAUCUCUAGUCUUGCUUAUAAAAAUGUUCUUGGAUUUGAACUUAGAAAGAUAUUUCACUUUUGUAUAACACAAGUACUUUUGUGGAGCUCACCCCAUUGUAUUUGCAUAUCAUGAAUAUUAGCAACAUGAAAUGUCCCUGUUGACCAUUUUCCGGCUUGCAGUUCAUUCCGCUUCAUUUUUGUGACCUCGCCGAAAUUAAUCAUUUUAAAACACAAUCUCUGGAGGAUAACAGGUUGAUAAAAUGAGUAUUAACGUCAAACGGUCCAAGGUUUUUUGAACUGAUUUUCAGGUUUUUUUUUUUUUUCAAACUGUUUUCAGGCUUAGGUUAGCUAUAAACAGAGAAACAAUUUUCAGAUUGGCCACUGCUUAGAAAUACAACAAACCAUAGUUAGAUGCACGUGCCCAUGUAAAUAUGUUAUUGUGCUCAAGGAUACAGUGAAAGUAACAAAACUUUUCCUGGAUCUUGUUUUUCUUUUAUGUGGCAAUUUCGGUGAGGCCCUGAAAAUGAAUGGGAGGGAACAGGGAACCGGAAAACCGGGAGGAAUGGGGCUGCCGUUAACAGUCAACAGGGACCUCUGAUGUUGCUAGUAUUCACACUACACAAAUAAAAUGACUUGUGUUAUACCAAAGUUAAAUAUCACUUCAAACAUAAUUUCACACCACAGUCGCAAGCCAGGCAUGUGAAGACCAGGGGCUGAGGAGACCCAUUCAUACACGUGCACAGAGAGUUAGCUACAGACGCCUGGAUGGCCUGGAGCAAUGAACAAUGCUAUUUUUACCAUCUGUACCCCUCCCAUAUCCCUAAGUGACACGAAGUCAAUUAUGUACCACCCCUGUGGGGUUGCCAGCCACAGUUUGCAGUGGCACGGGUCGGAUUCAAUCUGAGACUGUGGUGCUCACUCCUGCGCUACAAGCAGUACUUUUAUUGAGCGAGCUACCCAGCUAGUGAGUAACUAAUGGUUUUCAGUGUAAGCCACUAUUUUGGAUACAAUUUUAUUUCAAGACCAAUUAAAAAAUGAGGACACUCUUCUAUUGUACAUCAAGAGGAACAGCACCUUUUUACCUGCAAACCUUAUGCCUUAUACUCCUGCCAGCCCUCUCUGCUACACAUUCCCUGACUGACUUACUGUCCCCCUUCCUAAAGGGGCCCUCUUGUCAAUCAAGUCUCUAUUCUGGCCAAAAUUUUAAAUGAUAUUCCCUAACCAAUUUUUUUCCUAAUAAUACAACAUUCUCUGUUUCCCUCUUGUACCUCCUAUGGCAUCUGGUAUCUAAUUUAUGUUGAAAGAUUAUGUAUUGACAAUUACUAUUUGUUGUCAUAGCUUAGGAUCAGCACUGUUCUUGCCUAAACCCAAAUGUAUGCACUUAUAUACAGUAAGUUGCUCUGGAUAACGUAGUGCAUACAUACAUUAGUGCAGUGGUUCCCAACCAUAUUCCUGUCAUCUGCUGUCCUGUUGCUUUUCACUUCAACCCUAACAAAGGACACCUUAUUUAACUGCUAGGGAUCUCAAUGAGCUGCUAGUCUGUAGAAUCAGAUGUGCCAAAUUAGGAUUGAAAUGAAAACAUCACAUACAGGACAAUGAUUCACCAGGAACAUGGUUGGGAACCACUGCAUUAGUACAUGAACAUCCGCCACAGAAUGUGACGUCAACUCUUGAGAAGCAAUGAGCUUGAUUAAUUCCCUUAGCUGGAGACCAUCUUUAUCUUGAAGAUCAAAACAUAACUCUUCUUGAGCACCACGGCCAUAGUUUGAAACUCGCCACAGACUAACCCCUGUUACAAUGGUGACUAAGAUAAUAUGACUGAUACCUAUCAGUUGGCUAAGGUUGCUGCAGGACUUUUGAGGGGGGUGAAUGUGGAGUUCAGAGACGUGAGGUAGCAUGUGAACAUCUGCUAUAGGCCACCCCUGGAGAGACAAUAAGAGUAUGAUUAAUUCCCUCAGCUGGGGAUCAUUGAUCAUUUACUCAGCAUGCUAAUUGUACUCAACAUGCUAACUGUUCAGCCACAAUUCAAAACUUAUAACAGAUCUACUCUCCAGUGAAUAUGUAUCACUAACUGCCCUGUUUUUACUUUAAGUACUGUGAAAGUAGCCAAAGCUCUCUUAUGUUAUUAAUUUACACAGAGAGCAGCAACAAGGAUAGGGUGCUGCUUUUGCCUUUAAUUUCUAACUCAGGAGAGGCCAACUGAGAGCUCAGCAGCCACCCUGUUUUUGGGAGUUGAAAACUCCAAGCACAGAGGCUUCAACAUUUGGGCAACUUGCAGAGUUCUACCAUACACACUUGUCUAGGGAAUGUAUUAUGUUGUGUUUACAUUGUGUUUUUGACUGUCUGCAUGUGUAGCUAGGAACAGUGCAGGAAAGUGUAGAUGAGAUGAAAAAGAUAAAAAAUAUGUUAUUUCCAAUUGCAAAUUCCUGGAACUUGUUGCUGGGGCUGUUCCCUCUACCCCUUGUCUGGGAUCAUCCUCUUCCUCCCCCAAUGACAUCAGUGGACAUUGUUGAUCAGAUUUAGAUGUAGCCACGCUAGGCACAUGUGUUUGUUUACUUGUGGGUGAUGUUUUGGGAAGAGCUGAGGAGGGAGGUGCUGUGUUGAGGCGGUCCUGUGGUUUUUUUCAAUAUGGAUUUCAUGACUUGAAAUGUGUGUUAUUAUAGUUAUUGACAUAAUUUUGAAUAGAUAUUUGGUGAAAGUGUGAUCAUUCAUGGUUUUUAACUAUUUUCAGCCCCUUUACAAUCACUUCAGUCAAAUUUUUCAGGGUGCAUGUGUUGCGGUUGUGUGCCAAUAUACCUUCAUAAUACACAACUAGUUUUGUGCAAGAUACAGUAUGAACAUAUUUUAUGUGUACUACUUAUUUUAAAAUCAUCUGUCUGCAAAGUUGGGUGAAAAGUUUAUGGACACAAAUCUGUAAUUUGAGAGAGCAAUGUUGCAGUUCGCCUGUAUGUAAUUCCCUGCAGUCCCUAAAUCACUCAAGCAAGAUAAUAAACCUUCCAUACUGAAGUCUCCCCUGUAAAACUGCUCAGGCUCUAUGUGCUGGACAGCCAGCAACGAGUGGGACCCUGGAGCCCUCUGAUUAUCUCCAGUUCCGUUUCCCCCCUUCCCUUUUGCCCUAAUCAUUCCCCCAGAGCCCCAUUGGUGGUCCCCGAAUGUGAACCUGAGAGCCCCAGCGCUAGCAGGUCGGCCUGGGGUGAAGUCGGCGGCCUCCCUCCCGGGGCACAUCAGUCAUCUCCGACAGGAAUGUCCCAGGACGCCGCUCUGCAGGCCUUCCUUCCCUUCCACCCCCACCCACGGUCACCUUCAACGAGCCCCUUCUCGACUUACAGGGCGUCUGUUGUGGAAACCUUCCAAAACCUGCUCUGUGGCGGCCCAGAAUGACAAUUGCGAGCAAUGCGUUUGUGACCAGAUUUCCACAAAAACAUGUCUGAUAUUGCAUGGACAAGCCAAAGCUCAUGCCCUUGUGAGAGGUUAUGUCAAGUGUUUAAAUGUAUAAAGGUUUCUAAAUGAACACACAUGCAGGUUGUAUUUUCAUCAGCAAAUGCAGGAAGCAUGCAGGUCUGGGUCUGUGUGUAGGAGGCAGGAAUGCUGAAUUGUUCACUGCCAGAUUCCAUAUGCUGUUGUAUAAAUAACUCACGGUUAAAUAAAACGUUUUAUUUUUCAA